ACUCAAAUGAAUAGACGGGGAUCCGCACAAGCGGUGGAACAUGUGGUUUAAUUCGACACUACGCGAGGAACCUUACCUGGGCUUGACAUGCUUUUGACCGCUGUAGAGAUAUAGCUUUUCAAGAUUUAUCUUGGACAAUUGCACAGGUGCUGCAUGGCUGUCGUCAGCUCGUGUCGUGAGAUGUUAGGUUAAGUCCUCUAACGAGCGCAACCCUUGCUACCAGUUGCUAUCUGUUUUGCAGAGCACUCUGGUGGGACUGCCUGGGAAACCAGGAGGAAGGUGGGGACGACGUCAAGUCAUCAUGGUCCUUAUGCCCAGGGCUACACACGUGUUACAAUGGCCAGUACAAAGGGUUGCAAAGCCGUAAGGUGAAGCUAAUCUCAUAAAGCUGGUCUAAGUUCGGAUUGAGGUCUGCAACUCGACCUCAUGAAGUUGAAAUCGCUAGUAAUCGCGUAUCAGCAACGACGCGGUGAAUACGUUCACGGAUCUUGUACACACCGCCCGU
rnacentral:rRNA from 1 species